UCAGCGUUGUCGCUGUGGCGUGGGCCUC
rnacentral:sRNA from 1 species